GCCCGCCUAGCUCAAUCGGAUAGAGCGUCAGACUUUUACGAGCGGGUAAUCUGAAGGCUGCGAGUUCGACCCUCGCGGUGGGCU